rnacentral:rRNA from 1 species
CCUACGGGUGGCAGCAGUGAGGAAUAUUGGACAAUGGGCGGAAGCCUGAACCAGCCAAGUAGCGUGCAGGAUGACGGCCCUACGGGUUGUAAACUGCUUUUAUACGGGAAUAACGCGCCUUACGUGUAGGGCUUUGCAUGUACCGUAUGAAUAAGGACCGGCUAAUUCCGUGCCAGCAGCCGCGGUAAUACGGAAGGGCCGGGCGUUAUCCGGAUUUAUUGGGUUUAAAGGGAGCGUAGGCCGCAUGUCAAGCGUGCUGUGAAAUGUCCGGGCUCAACCCGGGCCUUGCAGCGCGAACUGGAAGCCUGGAGUGCACAACAGGCAGGCGGAAUUCUUGGUGUAGCGGUGAAAUGCAUAGAUAUCACGAGGAACCCCGAUUGCGAAGGCAGCCUGCCGGGGUGCGACUGACGCUGAGGCUCGAAGGUGCGGGUAUCAAACAGGAUUAGAUACCCUUGUAGUC